rnacentral:rRNA from 1 species
UACGUAGGGGGCCAGCGUUGUUCGGAAUUAUUGGGCGUAAAGGGCGCGUAGGCGGCCGGAUAAGUCUGAUGUGAAAUCCCACGGCUCAACCGUGGAACUGCAUCUGAAACUGUUCGGCUCGAGUCCGGGAGAGGGUAGUGGAAUUCCCAGUGUAGCGGUGAAAUGCGUAGAUAUUGGGAGGAACACCGGUGGCGAAGGCGGCUACCUGGACCGGUACUGACGCUGAGGCGCGAAAGCUAGGGUAGCAAACAGG